rnacentral:rRNA from 1 species
UACGUAGGGGGCAAGCGUUGUCCGGAAUCAUUGGGCGUAAAGAGCGUGUAGGCGGUUCGGUAAGUCGGCUGUGAAAGUCCAGGGCUCAACCCUGGGAUGCCGGUCGAUACUGCCGGACUAGAGUUCGGAAGAGGCGAGUGGAAUUCCCGGUGUAGCGGUGAAAUGCGCAGAUAUCGGGAGGAACACCUGUGGCGAAGGCGGCCCCCUGGUUGGAUACUGACGCUGAUACGCGAAAGCGUGGGGAGCAAACAGG